CGACCGGCGCACGGGUGAGUAACACGUAUCCAACCUGCCGUCUACUCUUGGCCAGCCUUCUGAAAGGAAGAUUAAUCCAGGAUGGCAUCAUGAGUUCACAUGUCCGCAUGAUUAAAGGUAUUUUCCGGUAGACGAUGGGGAUGCGUUCCAUUAGUUUGUUGGGGGGGUAACGGCCCACCAAGACUACGAUGGAUAGGGGUUCUGAGAGGAAGGUCCCCCACAUUGGAACUGAGACACGGUCCAA
rnacentral:rRNA from 1 species